ACACACACAAGGCACCUUGAUCCAAAACACGCCAGUGUAGUGCUUGCUACAAAGAAAUUGGCGGUGCCUUCAAAACCUGCAAAUACUGUGAAGUAAAGAUUAUACAAAAGAAAAACUUGAAAGCCCCAAAAGUCAAAUUUGAUGAUCAGUGGGCAGCCAAAUAAAAAAAACAUGCCAAUUCUAACAAAAUUAUGAACUGUGUGGACUUGCUUCUUCAUAAGAUGGAAUUACUGGGCUUCUCUCCAAUGCUCUUUAUUACAACGCAGAGAGGCCAGCAUCGCUCCACAAAAAACGUCAACGUUCAGAGGCAUCAUUCAGUACCGGUCAUGCAGAGACUUUAUGAGGCUGUUGUAAGAGGCAUUUAUGUGUACACAUGCAUUUACCAAUUGAAAAACUUUUUGUAUUAUAAUGGUCUUUUUUCACAGAUUGUGAUGAUGCAUUUCCACAGUUAUUAACAUGGUAAAUCUAACAAAGUUUAUGUUUAUAUAUAUAUGGGCUGGGCAUAGAUCAAUUUAGAUUUGAGUAUUUAGGUAUUGAAUGUGAUGCUGGAGAUUGUAUAAUUAUUUUUCACUUGUAUAAAGUGUUUUAUCAUUCACAUUUUUGUGUUGAAAUAAAUUAGCCUAUCCCCUGUAUGUCACUGAUGCACUACUUCAAAGAUUUGAGGACAAGAACAUACACCUGCGAGUAGUCUUAGACAUUGCCUGUGUUAUUGCCUCACAUUUGCAGAUCAAGUACAGAACCAGAUGGCUUGAUGGGUUUGGGCUCACAGACGGGGAAGGAAUGGAAAGGCUGUGGUCUUUCCUCCAAAGAUUUGCCAGAGUCACAAAGGAGAUGACUCCAUCUCAUCGCCUUGACCUACUGACUGAUGCCCUUUUGCAUUAUGGACGGAGGAAAUCAACUGACCUAGAGGUGCAGCUCCUGCAAAGAGUAGACAAAGCAGAGAAAAUAUUGAUUCUUGCUCAAGAAGAUAUCUCAUGUCAUCAGAGAGGCAUCAGUGUUGAUUUCUGAAGGAGACAUGGAGAGAUGGAAAAAGCUAGCCCAACAGAAACCAAUAAACACUGUCUGUAGAUGGAAAAGGGACUACAUCAUCAGGCUGAUUCAGUUCUACAAGUUCAAAUAUUAGAAUUGAGGACUCUGCUGAACAUUGAGAAAAACUACCGUAUUGGGAGAAGAUGGCAAGAGUCUGAUUCAAACUUCCAGUCUACCCUUAAAGAUGUGGACCGUGAGCUCAGAGUCCAACUGCAAGGCUAGAACUGAAUCAAGGGAGAGAGCAGUCGUCCUCCACCUGAGAAGAAUAUAUCCAGCUUUGCUUCAGAUGGGCAGGGCAUUGCCAUUAGACUCUCCAAGCAGGUAGCCAGCUCCAACAAUAGACUGAGACAGCAUUCAAUAGUCACCGCAGAUGAGCUUCUUACCUGCGACAAUUGAUUUUCAGGAAUCAUGUGAUCCCUCUUGGCAUGUUUACUUCUGCUUUAAUGACACUCAUAAAUAAGAUACAGAAAAGAAGGAGGCAGGAGAAGAUUGACAGUUUUCAAGAGAAAUCCUGAGAUGAGGUUGCUGGAGGCAUCAGUUUAAAGAGAGAGAGAGAGAGAGAGAGGCACAGAAAUUUUCACAGGCCUUCAACUGAAACAGAUAAUCACUGGAGUCCAUUCCCGACUCCCGAGCGACCACAUUCAACAUAACAAGUGCACAUUUUUUGUUUGGAAAAAAGCUCACAGAAACUAAAACCAGAUGUAUGCAGCUUUGCCAGGCGUGCAGCACCAGCGUAAACCAGCUAAGACCACUCGUCUAAGCUUUCAGUCUGGUAAAGCUGGUUUUUCAAUCUGAACAGCUAAAAGUGGACUCUAAAAACCUCUCUAAAACCAGCCUGCUACACCAGCUAAAACCAAACUGGGAGACCAGAUCAACUAGGUUAGGUCCACGUGCUCGUCUCCACUCAAACCUUUGCAGAGAAAUGAAACAGUGACUGCAUGUUUGAUCUACAGUCGCCACCUAGUGGUGAUAAAAAUGAAUAGCAUUAACAGAAAGUAUGACUUCAACAUGUUUUUGGUGGAAUGGUACAGUGCUUUAUAUAUAUUAAUGGUAUAUGGUACAGUCUACUUUAGCCUAAAGGUAAAUUUAACAGUGAAUGAAGAUAAUUUUUAAACUGUGUUUAGAUGUUGUUCAAUAAAGUUCAGAGUAUCAGUGAAGCAAGUUUGAGAGAUUUCUACAUAAAAUCUAUAAUGUUAAAAAUAUAAUCUUGAUAUCUUUAAUAAGGUAACAUUUUUAAAUAAGGUCUAUCUCUAUUUACAGUUGUUUUAUGCCACAUUUAACCUCCUAAGACCUGGAUGUCACAUAUGUGGACAUCAAUGUUUUUGUUGUUUGCACCAUAAUACUUAAUUCUGUGUAACUGGAACCUGUUAUACACAAACAUGGACAAAUACACUGCUUCAUGUUCUAAGAAAAAUAUUUGGUUAUUAUAUUUAUUGGUUCCCCAAAAUAGCUGGUAAAAAUCUGAAAAAAAGUCAAACCAAAGCUCGGGUUCAGGAGGUUAAUUUAGGCUUCAUGUUAUCUGACCGAUGAUAGGAGAUUGUUGCAUAAAAUUGGUUUGGGCAGAAAAAAUAAUUUUGGUAGUGGAAACAUUUUUUAGAUCUUUUCCUCUCAUCUCAUAUUUUGUCCACCACCAUGACCCUUUAGUCUCUGUGGUGGUUCUUCAUCAGUCAACAUGUCAAAUGUCCUUUAAUGUGUUUGGGAAUUAAUAUUAAGUAGUGUUUAGUGAAUUUAACCCUGCAGUAAACCCAGCAAUAUGUAACUCUGUUGAUGCUUUAACUGCUGUAAGGGAUGAGGGAUUAUUAGCUAACUUAAUGUCUGUUUUUGCCAGUGUUUAACUAUUUGAUAUGUGUGAAGGAUUUUGAGCAAUGAAAAACCUUUCGUAUGUAUCAUGCAUUAAAAUAUAUGACCUUUGAUGCUUUUUGAUGAUUUAAAUAAAAUCUCCAUACAAUCUGA